rnacentral:rRNA from 1 species
CAGCCGCCGCGGGAAUACGUAGGGUGCAAGCGUUAAUCGGAAUUACUGGGCGUAAAGCGUGCGUAGGCGGCUUUUUAAGUCGGAUGUGAAAUCCCUGAGCUUAACUUAGGAAUUGCAUUCGAUACUGGGAAGCUAGAGUAUGGGAGAGGAUGGUAGAAUUCCAGGUGUAGCGGUGAAAUGCGUAGAGAUCUGGAGGAAUACCGAUGGCGAAGGCAGCCAUCUGGCCUAAUACUGACGCUGAGGUACGAAAGCAUGGGGAGCAAACAGGAUUAGAUACCCCAGUAGUCCCUGUCUCUUAUAC